UGUGAAAUUGUUGAAAGGGAAACGCUUGAAGUCAGUCGCGUUGGCUGGGGAUCAACCAUUGCUUUUGCUUGGCUUACUUCCCAGUUGACGGGUCAGCAUCAGUUUUGACCAGUGGAUAAAGGCUAGGGGAAUGUGGCACCUCCGGGUGUGUUAUAGCCCUUGGUCAUAUACAUUGAUUGGGACUGAGGAACUCAGCACUUUAAGUGCUUAGGAUGCUGGCAUAAUGGCUUUAAGCGACCCGUCUU
rnacentral:rRNA from 1 species